rnacentral:lncRNA from 1 species
UUGGUGAAGACUUGGGAUCUAAGUCGGCUGUUACCAAACAUGUUUUCUGCGCGCUUCGCUGUCGAUCGAUGUCAAGAAGUGAACGUCGAUCGAUUAUUCCUCUUCAAUAUCGACCGAUGGUCGAGCUCGAUGGUCAUCUCGGGUGCUUACUCCAAAUAUCUCCAAAAUGCUCCAAAAUCAUCACUUUUCUCCAAAUCACUCCUGAUCCUAUCAAUAUUCUAAAUAGACUAUAUAAUAAAAUAAUUAAUAGUUAAAACACUUAUAAACCAUGGGUAAA